rnacentral:siRNA from 1 species
UUUGUGCUAAAUCAUUCU